GGGAACAAGCAGAGACUUCAGGUAAAUAAAAACAGAGUUUUAUGAAAGCUGUGAUCCUGCAGCCUGUCUGCCAUCUGAUGAAGUCACACAAACAGGAUGAAAGAACAAAUGUUGCACUUGUUGGAGUCCAGUUGGAGCAGGUGUUGGACCAGAUGUUGCAGGCCUGUUCUUGUUCUGUGGUGUUUAGUUGAAAAAGUUUCCCCCAAGUCACUCAGUGAAUUCCAAAACAGACUUUGAAAAGAGGUUWUUAUUUUUGCGACAGCUGCUGCUGGGUGUCAGAGUCUGACGUCACCGACCAUCUGGAGGGAAGCGUCAUGAUUGRCCGACUCAAAGAUUUGUCAAUAAAUCAAAAUGAUUCAAACUGAAUGUGAUCAGUUGAGGAAGACAUUGGAACAGAAGCUCGAUGAGGAUUUCCUUCAAGAAUACAGAAAAAGCAG